UAAGCCUGUGAAGGUGGCCUGUGAGGGUUGCUGGAGGUAUCAGAAGUGCGAAUGCUGACAUAAGUAACGAUAAAGCGGGUGAAAAGCCCGCUCGCCGGAAGACCAAGGGUUCCUGUCCAACGUUAAUCGGGGCAGGGUGAGUCGACCCCUAAGGCGAGGCCGAAAGGCGUAGUCGAUGGGAAACGGGUUAAUAUUCCCGUACUUGGUGUUACUGCGAAGGGGGGACGGAGAAGGCUAUGUUGGCCGGGCGACGGUUGUCCCGGUUUAAGCGUGUAGGUGUGUGUUCCAGGUAAAUCCGGUUCACUUUAACACUGAGGCGUGAUGACGAGGCACUACGGUGCUGAAGCAACAAAUGCCCUGCUUCCAGGAAAAGCCUCUAAGCAUCAGGUAACAUCAAAUCGUACCCCAAACCGACACAGGUGGUCAGGUAGAGAAUACCAAGGCGCUUGAGAGAACUCGGGUGAAGGAACUAGGCAAAAUGGUGCCGUAACUUCGGGAGAAGGCACGCUGACAC
rnacentral:rRNA from 4 species